rnacentral:rRNA from 1 species
GAUGAACGCUGGCGGCGUGCUUAACACAUGCAAGUCGAACGAAGCCAAAAGGAAGCUUGCUUUCUUUGAAGCUUAGUGGCGGACGGGUGAGUAACGCGUGAGGAACCUGCCCUUCAGUGGGGAAUAACAGCCGGAAACGACUGCUAAUACCGCAUAACGUCGGAGUGCCGCAUGACACACCGACCAAAGGAUUUAUUCGCUGAAGGAUGGCCUCGCGUCUGAUUAGGCAGUUGGUGAGGUAACGGCCCACCAAACAUACGAUCGGUAGCCGAACUGAGAGGUUGAUCGGCCACAUUGGGAGUGAGACACGGCCCAGACUCUUACGGGAGGCAGCAGUGGGGAAUAUUGGGCAAUGGGCGAAAGCCUGACCCAGCAACGCCGCGUGAAGGAAGACGGUCUUCGGAUUGUAAACUUCUUUGAUUGGGGAAGAACACAAUG